GUUUUUAUUUGACUUUCAAGGAACUUAAGAUAUUAAAUUGUAAACAUCAAACCAUAAAGAAAGUGAAUUCUAAAUUGGAUCAAAACAUUGAUCAAGUCAUCAUCAAAGUCAAUCAUCCAUUUUGGUGGAUUAGGAUUUUCACCCCAUCAACACCCAGGAUCCAUUGA